UACAGAGGUCUCAAGCGUUGUUCGGAUUCAUUGGGCGUAAAGGGUGUGUAGGUGGCGCGCUAAGUCGGGUGUGAAAUUUCGGAGCUUAACUCCGAAACUGCAUUCGAUACUGGCGUGCUUGAGGACUGGAGAGGAGACUGGAAUUCAUGGUGUAGCAGUGAAAUGCGUAGAGAUCCGGAGGAAUACCAGUUGCGCAAGCGGCGCUCUGGGUCGAGCCUGACACUGAGACGCGAAGGCAUGGGGAGCGAACGGG
rnacentral:rRNA from 1 species